UGGUAUUUUUUAAAAGUGUCUCAGAUGCAUGCGAGAGCAACCUGGAGAGACUUUGACAGCUCAGGUCAGCAUAAUACCUGCAGCUGCCACUCACCUUUCCUAUAAUA